rnacentral:rRNA from 1 species
CCUACGGGAGGCAGCAGUAGGGAAUUUUCGGCAAUGGGGGGAACCCUGACCGGGCAACGCCGCGGGAAGGAAGAAGGAAUUCGUUCGGAAAACUUCUUUGACAGGGGAGGAGCAGAAGACGGUACCCUGAAAACAAGCCACGGCUAACUACUUGCCAGCAGCCGCGGUAAUACGUAGGUGGCAAGCGUUGUCCGUAUUUACUGGGUGUAAAGGGCGUGUAGCCGGGAAGGCAAGUCAGAUGUGAAAUCUGGAGGCUCAACCUCCAAAUUGCAUUUGAAACUGUUUUUCUUGAGUACUGGAGAGGCAGACGGAAUUCCUUGUGUAGCGGUGAAAUGCGUAGAUAUAAGGAGGAACACCAGUGGCGAAGGCGGUCUGCUGGACAGCAACUGACGGUGAGGCGCGAAAGCGUGGGGAGCAAACAGGAUUAGAUACCCUAGUAGUC